rnacentral:rRNA from 1 species
CCUACGGGUGGCAGCAGUGAGGAAUAUUGGUCAAUGGGCGCGAGCCUGAACCAGCCAAGUCGCGUGAGGGAAGACGGUCCUAUGGAUUGUAAACCUCUUUUGGCGGGGAGCAAAAGACGCCACGCGUGGCGUUCCGAGAGUACCCGAAGAAAAAGCAUCGGCUAACUCCGUGCCAGCAGCCGCGGUAAUACGGAGGAUGCGGGCGGUAUCCGGUUUUAUUGGGUUUACAGGGUGCGCAGGCGGAAGCUCAAGUCAGCGGUAAAAUUGAGCAGCUCAACCUCUUCGAGCCGUUGAAACUGGUUUUCUUGAGUGAGUGAGAAGUGUGCGGAAUGCGUGGGGUAGCGGUGAAAUGCAGAGAUAUCACGCAGAACUCCGAUUGCGAAGGCAGCAUACCGGCGCUCAACUGACGCUCAUGCACGAAAGUGUGGGUAUCGAACAGGAUUAGAUACACGGGUAGUC